UACGGGGGGGGCAAGCGUUGUUCGGAAUUACUGGGCGUAAAGGGCGCGUAGGCGGCCUUCUAAGUCGGACGUGAAAUCCCUCGGCUUAACCGAGGAACUGCGUCCGAUACUGAAAGGCUUGAAUCCGGGAGAGGGAUGUGGAAUUCCAGGUGUAGCGGUGAAAUGCGUAGAUAUCAGGAGGAACACCGGUGGCGAAGGCGGGUCUCUGGGCCGUAACUGACGCUGAGGAGCGAAAGCAUGGGGAGCGAACAGG
rnacentral:rRNA from 1 species